GUGGUGAUUCAGUCUGUGAAUACUAUUUACGCAUUGAUUUGAUAGUGGGGUUUCGGGGGGGGGAUGCAUUCCAAAUAAACAUCAUAUAAACAAACAUACAUAUCUGCCUGAAAUCCAUUUUUGAGGGACCAUGGUGACUUGGUGCAAUGAGGAAUCAAUGAUUUUAUGCUUCACUCUGUGGACACACAUGGGACUUAGGAUCUAAGGGUGGGUUAACAUAUAAAAGCCAGGAUUAAUUGUUACCCGCCAGUUCUAAGUGUGCCACUUUAAGUGUCUUGCUUUCGUUUCCAUUCACUCCUACAGUCGGGACCCUACGCACAAUUGGAAAUAACCCCGGGGGAACUCAGUGGAACAUAUUUACCACAAAGGGGAACUUUUACACGGGAUGCAUCCUGUCAGUGCGGUCUCUCCGCCCGGGAAUGCCCCCCGCCUCUCCUCUUGCAACAGACUCACAGCAGCAGGUUGUUGCAGCGGGAGGGUGGGCGACAGGUUCUCACGCAGACCGGGGCUGCCCGCAGCUCAUUGGCGGCCGGCCCGCCGCUGGCUGGCGCUUUUUCCUUCCCCGUGCGAGAGGCGAGUAGGAGCCGCUCCCGCGAGUGAGACGCUGCAAACCGAGGCCGGGCGGGCGCUCGUCGUGUACCGCCACGUCUCCUCCCGCGACUUACCCGCCGCGGCAUCGCCAGCCAUGAACGUGAGAAGAGUGGCCAGCAUCUCGGCGCAGCUGGAGGAAGCCAGCACCACCGGCGUGAUUUGAAAGUGGGAGUUCUAACUACUUGACUACAUGGGCCUGCCCGUAGGGCUGCUACGGAAGCUUCAACAGGUCCAGAACAUGGUCCCCAAACUUCUGAGUGGUGUAAAGAAGUAUCAACACAUCUCUCCUACUCUGGCUGCCCUGCACUGGUUACCCAUCUGUUUCCAUGCCAGCUUCAAGAUGAUGGUGUUAACUUACAAGGCCCUAAACAGUUUGGGACCUCGAUACCUUGCACCUCCUCCUCAUUAGAUUUGCCUGUCCAAUAUGAUUCUUCCAAGUUGGGCAAUUGAGAGUAUUGACCCCAAGAGAGGCCUGGAAAGUGAGGACUAGAAACCAGGCAAUCUCGGCAGUUGCUCCCCAACUUUGGAACAGUCUCUGGCCUGAAAUCUGCCUGGCCCCUUCACUGAGA
rnacentral:lncRNA from 1 species